CACUGCCGAGAAAAGCCUCUAGAUAGAAAAUAGGUGCCCGUACCGCAAACCGACACAGGUAGUCAAGAUGAGAAUUCUAAGGUGAGCGAGCGAACUCUCGUUAAGGAACUCGGCAAAAUGACCCCGUAACUUCGGGAGAAGGGGUGCUCUUUAGGGUUAACGCCCAGAAGAGCCGCAGUGAAUAGGCCCAAGCGACUGUUUAUCAAAAACACAGGUCUCUGCUAAACCGUAAGGUGAUGUAUAGGGGCUGACGCCUGCCCGGUGCUGGAAGGUUAAGAGGAGUGGUUAGCUUCUGCGAAGCUACGAAUCGAAGCCCCAGUAAACGGCGGCCGUAACUAUAACGGUCCUAAGGUAGCGAAAUUCCUUGUCGGGUAAGUUCCGACCCGCACGAAAGGCGUAACGAUUUGGGCACUGUCUCAACGAGAGACUCGGUGAAAUCAUAGUACCUGUGAAGAUGCAGGUUACCCGCGACAGGACGGAAAGACCCCGUGGAGCUUUACUGUAGCCUGAUAUUGAAAUUCGGCACAGCUUGUACAGGAUAGGUAGGAGCCUUUGAAACGUGAGCGCUAGCUUACGUGGAGGCGCUGGUGGGAUACUACCCUAGCUGUGUUGGCUUUCUAACCCGCACCACUUAUCGUGGUGGGAGACAGUGUCAGGCGGGCAGUUUGACUGGGGCGGUCGCCUCCUAAAAGGUAACGGAGGCGCUCAAAGGUUCCCUCAGAAUGGUUGGAAAUCAUUCAUAGAGUGUAAAGGCAUAAGGGAGCUUGACUGCGAGACCUACAAGUCGAGCAGGGUCGAAAGACGGACUUAGUGAUCCGGUGGUUCCGCAUGGAAGGGCCAUCGCUCAACGGAUAAAAGCUACCCCGGGGAUAACAGGCUUAUCUCCCCCAAGAGUUCACAUCGACGGGGAGGUUUGGCACCUCGAUGUCGGCUCAUCGCAUCCUGGGGCUGUAGUCGGUCCCAAGGGUUGGGCUGUUCGCCCAUUAAAGCGGUACGCGAGCUGGGUUCAGAACGUCGUGAGAC
rnacentral:rRNA from 1 species